UUCCCUGGCCAGGGAUUGAACCUGGGCCACGGCAGUGAAAGUGCCGAGUCCUAAUCACUGAACCACCAGGGA
rnacentral:tRNA from 1 species